rnacentral:rRNA from 1 species
AGGACGAACGCUGGCGGCGUGCCUAACACAUGCAAGUGGAGCGACGAACCAGGCUUCGGCCUGGGGCAGAGCCGCGAACGGGUGAGUAACACGUGGGUAACCUGCCCUGAUGAUUGGGACAACCCGAGGAAACUCGGGCUAAUACCGAAUAUGACUUCGGCCGACAUCGGCCUUGGUGGAAAGUUUUUCGGCUAGGGAUGAACUCGCGGCCUAUCAGCUUGUUGGUGGGGUAAUGGCCUACCAAGGCGACGACGGGUAGCCGGCCUGAGAGGGCGACCGGCCACACUGGGACUGAGACACGGCCCAGACUCCUACGGGAGGCAGCAGUGGGGAAUAUUGCGCAAUGGGCGAAAGCCUGACGCAGCGACGCCGCGUGGGGGAUGAAGGCCUUCGGUUGUAACCCUUUCAGCAGGGACGAAGCGAAGUGACGGUACCUGCAGAAGAAGCGCCGGCUAACUACGUGCCAGCAGCCGC